GAUAGAUUGGUGCACGAAUCGCUUCCUUAUGGAUAGACGAGUCUCGAAUCUAUAGUGUGAAGAUAUUGAAACGAGAGUAUGGCUGUUUGUUAUAGAAUAAAAGUAUCAAGCAUGAUCAAUAUGAGAAGACACUUGGAUGCUUACUCACUCAUCAGUGACAUCCUUGAUGCUGCAUUAGUAUAAAUAAUUUUUUGACCUAUGGUGCCUCGAC
rnacentral:lncRNA from 1 species